CAACACUGUACUAACAUGUCUGGUGAAACAGCUGGAACCUUAUUGUUUACACUGAACCAAUAAAACUAGGAAAAGUUUGGGACUGGACCAAACCCGCUAUAUGAUUCGCCUAUGUUUAUUAUGCAAGAACAGUUUUUUGUCAAGAAACAAAACGGAAACGACAUGAUGAGAACGACCAGAGCAGGGGUUUUCAAACUUUUUGACGCCAAGGACCCCUUAAAAUAGGUACAGAGCUCCUCAGUACUUCACAACUAUGGCUGCACAUUAUGAAACUCCUUGUAACACAGAGAUUACACCAUAAUGGCCAGUCAUUGGAUUAUGCUAGUCUUUUUAUUACACUCCAUCCAUCAAAGGUAAUUAUAUUGAUCACAUACCUGGAAUAGGAUAUGCGGUUAAGAUGAAAUAAUGUUCAUGCUUUUGUGUAGCAUUUCAAUUGAUGGUGGUGAAAGCUUAUUAACU